rnacentral:rRNA from 1 species
GACGAACGCUGGCGGCGUGCUUAACACAUGCAAGUCGUACGGUAAGGCCCUUUCGGGGGUACACGAGUGGCGAACGGGUGAGUAACACGUGAGUAACCUGCCCACAACUUUGGGAUAACGCUAGGAAACUGGUGCUAAUACUGGAUAUGUGCUCCUGCUGCAUGGUGGGGGUUGGAAAGCUCCGGCGGUUGUGGAUGGACUCGCGGCCUAUCAGCUUGUUGGUGGGGUAGUGGCCUACCAAGGCGGCGACGGGUAGCCGGCCUGAGAGGGUGACCGGCCACAUUGGGACUGAGAUACGGCCCAGACUCCUACGGGAGGCAGCAGUGGGGAAUAUUGCACAAUGGGCGCAAGCCUGAUGCAGCAACGCCGCGUGCGGGAUGACGGCCUUCGGGUUGUAAACCGCUUUCAGCAGGGACGUAGCUUUUUGUGACGGUACCUGCAGAAGAAGCACCGGCUAACUACGUG